rnacentral:lncRNA from 1 species
CACUCCUGCUUUUCCCUCCGACUUCACUCACAACCCUAGCAGGAGCUGGGAGGGACGCAGGUGGUGGGGUCUUGUGGCUGGCUCCCCCUCUAAUGUCGUGUUGCCUGGGUUGGUCUGGAAUGGAUGCUUCAGAGCCAUUGGCUUUACAAAAGGCAAGCCUCCCACCCACCCCCAGAUGCAAAGGCUGAAAUGAUCCCUGUGAGGAGGGACUCUUUCUGGGUUGCAUUUCUCUUUUUACUUUCUCCAGCCCUCCAUAUAGGAGGGACGAGUCUUCUUCUUCUGUCUCUUCCCAAAGCCCCCUCCGUCCGUCAAGAAGAGCCUCCAAAAUCAGAGGCUGCUGGAGAGGUGGUUCGUCUUCGGAAACAAGGAGCCAGACUUUGGGAAACGGGCUGGCCCUGGAGGGGGCCUUUGGGACCUGACCCCCAGAAAGGGCUCUUCUUGGAAGCCAGGAGAAAAGUUUCCAGCAAAGAUCCCCUUUCUUGGGGGGACCAGAGGAACCGGCUGGCAGGAUCUACCCCUCCAGGGCUGGGCAGGGGGGGUGAGGGGGAAAGGGGCAGAGGCCGCCUGGCCGGAGGGCAGACAAAGGGGCCUGGAUCUAGCCCCCUUCACUCCCAGCCAACCCCCUAUCUUCUCCCCACCUCCAAGCCCCAUUUCUCUGGGACCCCUCCUAUGCCCCCAGCCCCUACACAGGAACUUUGCCUGAGGAUCCAGACGGAGGUGGGCAAUGGCCGGGGGGAGAGAGGAGAGAGAAGGGGGGUGUCCCUAGAAAGAUAUUCCCCCAAAGGGGAGAAAUAUACCUCCCACUCCUCCAGGGGUCAGGGGGAGCUCUCCAUUCCUCGUCUCCUCCUGGAGGGAGGGGGAUCUUUAGUGGGGCUUCUUUGUGUUUAUGUGUGUUGUGUGUUUGUGUUGGGAAAGAGAGAUGGGAAGUCAGGGUGGGGGUGAUGGGAAAGUACUCUGAAGGGGCAGGAGGGGCCCCUCAAGAAAGGUGCCUGGGCCCUGUGUGUGUGUGUGUGUGUGUGUGUUUGUGUGUUUUUCUUGGUGAGUCCACUCAGGCUUGUGGUUGUUUCUCCCCCCCUUCUCCAUCCAAAGUCUGUGUAUACCCCCCCAACCCCUUUUGUUCCAUAACUUCUCACGGUCCAAGCGCUGAGAAAAUAAGAACUGAACUUGUGGCACAAAUAAAAGCCAACAACGAUAUUGUAAUAGCCUCCCU